rnacentral:rRNA from 1 species
UGCAAGUCGAGCGAAGAGAUGGGAGCUUGCUCCCUGAUCUUAGCGGCGGACGGGUGAGUAACACGUGGGCAACCUGCCCUGCAGACUGGGAUAACUCCGGGAAACCGGAGCUAAUACCGGGUAAUACAUCGCACCGCAUGGUGCAAUGUUGAAAGUUGGCUUUCUGACCUACCCCGGCAGGAGGGGCCCCCGGCGCAUUACCUAGUUGGUAAGGUAUGGGUUUACCAAGGCAACAAUCCUUACCCAACCUGAAAGGGGGAUCGGCCACCCGGGACCUGAAACACGGCCCAAACCCCUACGGGAGGCACCAUUAGGGAAUCUUCCCCAUGGAACAAAAGUCUGACGAACCACCGCCCCGUGAUUGACAAAGGCCUUCGGGUCGUAAAGUUCUGUGGUUAGGAAGGACCAAUUACCGUUCAAUUAGGGCGGUACCUGGACGGACCCUAACCAAAAAGCCACGGUUAAUUACUUGCCACCAGCCGCGGUAUUACUUAGGUGGCAGCCGUGGUCGGAAUAAUUGGCCGUAAAC